rnacentral:rRNA from 1 species
GGUUAAGCGACUAAGCGUACACGGUGGAUGCCCUGGCAGUCAGAGGCGAUGAAGGACGUGCUAAUCUGCGAUAAGCGCCGGUAAGGUGAUAUGAACCGUUAUAACCGGCGAUUUCCGAAUGGGGAAACCCAGUGUGAUUCGUCACACUAUCAUUAACUGAAUCCAUAGGUUAAUGAGGCGAACCGGGGGAACUGAAACAUCUAAGUACCCCGAGGAAAAGAAAUCAACCGAGAUUCCCCCAGUAGCGGCGAGCGAACGGGGAGGAGCCCAGAGCCUGAAUCAGCAUGUGUGUUAGUGGAAGCGUCUGGAAAGGCGCGCGAUACAGGGUGACAGCCCCGUACACAAAAGCGCAUGUGCUGUGAGCUCGAUGAGUAGGGCGGGACACGUGGUAUCCUGUCUGAAUAUGGGGGGACCAUCCUCCAAGGCUAAAUACUCCUGACUGACCGAUAGUGAACCAGUACCGUGAGGGAAAGGCGAAAAGAACCCCGGCGAGGGGAGUGAAAAAGAACCUGAAACCGUGUACGUACAAGCAGUGGGAGCCCCACCACCAAAGCAUUCUCUGGUGUUGAAGGCCCUGCAAAGCAGCAUCGCGGUGGCGGAGCGUCGUUUGCGACGCCCAACACACAAAACAAGCGGUGAAUGCUUUGGGGUGGGGUGACUGCGUACCUUUUGUAUAAUGGGUCAGCGACUUAUAUUCUGUAGCAAGGUUAACCGAAUAGGGGAGCCGGAGGGAAACCGAGUCUUAAUUGGGCGUUAAGUUGCAGGGUAUAGACCCGAAACCCGGUGAUCUAGCCAUGGGCAGGUUGAAGGUUGGGUAACACUAACUGGAGGACCGAACCGACUAAUGUUGAAAAAUUAGCGGAUGACCUGUGGCU